GAGAACGGCGAGAAGGAGGUGGUGAUUGAGGACUUUUUUUUCUUUUCCCAGAGCCUGUAGGACGAGUCCCAGUGCUGUGUGUGUGUGUGUGUGUGUGUGUGUGUGUGUGUGUGUGUGUGUGUGUGUGUGCGCGCGCGCGCGUGCGCGCGCCUAGAGGAAAGAAUCAGGCAACUUGCUGAGAGAAGGACCCAGCGCUUCCUGUAACCCACGAAGAAGCACCCUUUGCCCGCGUGAAAUUGACAAGAAAUUCUGCUGGGAAGGUUUAACUUCAACAUCUAAGUAUCCCCUCUCUUGUCCCACACCCCCCAACCCCGACCUUCCUCUGCAAGUCUCUCCCCCCACCCUCUUUCCCGCCUCCCUCUCUCUCCCUCCCUCCCUUUGGCAGCGCUACGAAGAUGAAAGAGAAGCCGCCGCAGCUGUGAUCGACACCACAUUGAUAGAUGCUCUGACAGGGCGGAUGAGGCGGGAAUUGGGGACAGAGAGAAGGAAAAGGGGAAAAUAUAACAGACAUUGCUCAACUAAGAGAACGGAAACAAGAAGGACAAGGAAGAGAGUUGUGGGUUUCCGAAAAUAUAAUGUCCAAGGACAGGAGAACGCAUGCUAGCAAAAAUUAAAUCUCCAGGCUUACCGAGGAAAAUAGGACACAGAAGAAAAAAACUGAAGACUGGAUCUUAAUUACCGCCUUUUAAAACAAGAUCUCUUUCAGUACAUCCUCACCAUGGGAUGUACAGAGAAAGUUGUGCUAGGUUUCUCGUGGAAUUUGGGAGAUACACACCACAGUGUAUGGGACCCAAAUAGAGAAUGAAAAAACAACCCAAGGAGGGAGAGAGAAGGCAAAAGGACCCAGGAGUGCGAUGCCAGUAGAGGGAGGGAGGACCGGGCAGUCUCUGGCACCUCGGACUGCGCACUCAAAGAGACCCUUGAAGAUGCAAAUCCGAAUCCGACCUCAAAAAUUCCCCAACCUCCACCAUCUCUUUGAUGCAUUUUGUACAAGGACAGAACUUUUAAGGAGAUGCUUUGUGAAAGUUACAGUAUAAGUGAAGCUGAAGUUUGAAAACAUGUUACAUUUUGUUCCUUGGCUCUCAAACCCCCUCAGUUAAAAAUCCAGGCAAAAUUAUUAUACCCAAUACACUAGCCAUCUGUAAAACCUCAGAACAGUAAACAAGAAGCAGGGAGAAAUGUGUCUCCAUCUACCUUAAAUUGAAAAUAAGGAAAACACUACAGAAUCAGACGUUAGCUCUAUUUUAUAGGAAACAGUCAUGCAAGGAUCCCUCUUUUCCCCGGGGGGAAAAUUGCAAGCUGCUGGACAUUCUAUAAGUAAAGACCUUAACAGUGCUCAAAAUGAGCACUUAAAACUUUGCCUACUGCUAACUACUUCCUAGGGAUGGGAAUUUACUAGGAAGCAAUUUUUUUAAACUAUCAUUUAAAGGGUUCAGUUGGUCACAUACAGCACUGUCAGUUGUCACACAUAUUCUAUCCGCAGGGAUUGGGGCAAAAUUAAGGGGCUGGUGAUGGGAGCCAGGAAGAGUAAAGCAUUAAAUACACUUUAACUGCUGACAAUGCAAAGCCUUAGAGAAGAAAAACAAAAAGAAUAUUCUGCUGUUAAAAUGUGUCUGUAAGAUAAUACUGAAAAGAUGGGCAAGAAACCCAUUUUUUAAAUUGGUGGCAGUAGUGAACUUGUCUUGAAGUUAUGCACCAAUGUGAGUGCAAAGUACUAGGGCUGUAAACAUGUAGCUAUGACAUUAACACCCUCUGUUCUAAAAGAAAUAUGGGAAAGCAAAGUCAAAAGUUCUCCCACAAAUGUGCCAAUUUGUCUGAUAGGAAAAGAACUGGGAAAUGCAAGUUUCACUAAAGUAGCCAGAGUAGAGGUUCCUUUGCAUCAAAAUGUUGAGGAGGGGCGGGGCGGGGGGGGGGGGGGUGCAGCACACAGAAUGGCCAGAGGAUAUUUUCUGGAAGCCAAAAAGAUAUUAAGUGGCAACUCCUACAUCUCCCUGUUUAAGUGUUACAACUAAUUCGAAUCCCAUUUUCUCCUUCAUGUUAAUUAUCUGGACUCCCGGAGUCAUUUGGAGAUCCCGUUCAGGUGUCCUGGGGAUUAGAAGCUCGAGAAGAUGGGGAUUUGGGGAAUAAUAACUUGUGGGAACUGUUUACUUGAAGGGCCGAGGGUAGGUGGCUGUGUUUGGUACUUUUCGGUAACCCUCUCCUAUGGAAACAUUGUUUCUAACGAAAUCACCGAGCGCUUUGCUCUAUGUGGCUGUUUGUCCUCCCCGAGGCGUGCGGGUGUUGACUGUCCCUAGCGUUGUUGCUAAUCUUGAGACGGGCUGUACUGAAAGGGGGCUUUACCAGAAAACAUUCACCCAAGUAUAUUUGAAGCUUUGUCUGAGAAGGAGGUUGACAUCUCCACGUGAAGUCUGUCUCUCCUGGGGCGGGUGGAUGGGGAUUGGAAAGCAGGGGCACUCAGGAGGGGUGCAGUAACCCCGGCAAGAAGUUCUUUCUCCUCUAACAGGUUCGGUGAUGUUGCAGGCAAAGGCAUUUCUGUCGCCGGGAGGUCUUUUCUAAUUCGUGUGGGGGCUGCUAUUACAUAUGCAAGCCGCCGCUUUGGGUGCACAGUCCGGGAUGUGGUGGGUGCGGCGCGGGAGAAACACCGCCGCCCGCCGCCCCCUUCCCUCGGAUGUAGAGGCGGGUUGUUCGUGUGAACUCGAGCGAACGACUAGAGGUUGGCUGUUGCAGGUUCACUCCUUCAGGAUGUGGGUUUCAGGGGGCGUUUUGAUGUGAUUUAAUUCCGACCGUGAAACAAUUGCUAGGGGCUGGCUGUAUUGCUGUUGGUUUUUCCCCUCUUGGUGGCUUUGGUUGGUUUGGGUUUAGUUUGGGAGCGAACAGUGACUUGUUUUAUAUCAACACUUCCCUCGGUGCCGGGCGCCGUCGCCGGCGCUGCGCGUGGGGGACGAGGCGCCCACCCGGGGCCGGAACCGAGGAGAGGGGGGAGCGGAGACGGGCCUCGCAGUCCGCAGGGUAAACGCGGCCCAGGCCCCCGCGGGUGCAGACAGGGGAGCUAGAAUGACCCCCACUCCCACCAGAGACCCCUCCCCCCUGGCGAUUUUGCUGCCAAGUCGACUCAGCUACAGACACUCAAGCCCCUUUGUGUGACUAAAUUUGGCAAGAAUAUGGAUCCGAGCCAGUCUUUCCACGUGUGCUCCCAGCUCCCAGCUGAGAAGGCCAAGGGUUCUCUUCCGGAAUGGGUGUAAUAAUGGCCUACUUGACAAGAUUGUUGUAAGAAUUCAGUGAGGUAAUGCAUGUGAAAGUAGGAAGCAAAGAUGAUUCUUCAGGAGACCUGAAAACCAAUUCGGCUAUUAAGGGAACCUCUCAACAGAGCAGAGGAGGAGAAGGCAAGGUUUCAGAAAGAAGAGCUGUUUACCAUCAAAGCAAACUGGGUUCCACACAGACAUAGCGUAUCAUACACAAAGACAAAGUUCUGGAGGUCGGAGGUCCAAAAUGAGUCUCACUGGGCUAAAAUCCAGGAGUUGGCAGGGCUGUGUUCCCUUCUGGAGGCUCCACGGGGGAGAAUCUGUUUCCUCGCCUUGUCCAGCUUCCAGAGGCCGCCUGCGUGCCUUGGCUGGUGGCCCCUGUCUUUGUCUUUGCAGCGGGCAGAGCCACCCCUUGCUGCAAAGAUGUCUAAGACAGGAUUAUUAAUUGGAUACCUUGAUCCUUUGGCAACACUGGUGUUCUGUUAGCAAGUAAAUAGGGAAGAAUGGACACUGGGU